CAGCCGCCGCGGGAAUACGGAGGGUGCAAGCGUUAAUCGGAAUUACUGGGCGUAAAGCGUGCGUAGGUGGUGGUUUAAGUCCGUUGUGAAAGCCCUGGGCUCAACCUGGGAAUUGCAGUGGAUACUGGGUCACUAGAGUGUGGUAGAGGAUAGUGGAAUUUCCGGUGUAGCAGUGAAAUGCGUAGAGAUCGGAAGGAACAUCUGUGGCGAAGGCGACUAUCUGGGCCAACACUGACACUGAGGCACGAAAGCGUGGGGAGCAAACAGGAUUAGAUACCCCUGUAGUCCCUGUCUCUUAUAC
rnacentral:rRNA from 1 species